rnacentral:rRNA from 1 species
CUCAGGAUGAACGCUAGCUACAGGCUUAACACAUGCAAGUCGAGGGGCAGCAUGGUCUUAGCUUGCUAAGGCCGAUGGCGACCGGCGCACGGGUGAGUAACGCGUAUCCAACCUGCCUUACACUCUUGGACAGCCUUCUGAAAGGGAGAUUAAUACAAGAUGUUAUCAUGAGUAAGCAUUUUCACAUGAUUAAAGGCUUACCGGUGUAAGAUGGGGAUGCGUUCCAUUAGAUAGUAGGCGGGGUAACGGCCCACCUAGUCUUCGAUGGAUAGGGGUUCUGAGAGGAAGGUCCCCCACAUUGGAACUGAGACACGGUCCAAACUCCUACGGGAGGCAGCAGUGAGGAAUAUUGGUCAAUGGACGAGAGUCUGAACCAGCCAAGUAGCGUGAAGGAUGAAGGUUCUAUGGAUUGUAAACUUCUUUUAUACGGGAAUAAACGAAUCCACGUGUGGAUUUUUGCAUGUACCGUAUGAAUAAGGAACGGCUAACUCCGUGCCAGCAGCCGCGGUAAUACGGAGGAUCCGAGCGUUAUCCGGAUUUAUUGGGUUUAAAGGGAGCGUAGAUGGGUUGUUAAGUCAGUUGUGAAAGUUUGCGGCUCAACCGUAAAAUUGCAAUUGAUACUGGCAGUCUUGAGUACAGUUGAGGUAGGCGGAAUUCGUGGUGUAGCGGUGAAAUGCUUAGAUAUCACGAAGAACUCCGAUUGCGAAGGCAGCUUACUAACCUGUAACUGACAUUGAUGCUCGAAAGUGUGGGUAUCAAACAGGAUUAGAUACCCUGGUAGUCCACACGGUAAACGAUGAAUACUCGCUGUAGGCGAUAUACAGUCUGCGGCCAAGCGAAAGCAUUAAGUAUUCCACCUGGGGAGUACGCCGGCAACGGUGAAACUCAAAGGAAUUGACGGGGGCCCGCACAAGCGGAGGAACAUGUGGUUUAAUUCGAUGAUACGCGAGGAACCUUACCCGGGCUUAAAUUGCAACCGAAUAUGGCGGAAACGCUAUAGCUAGCAAUAGCGGUUGUGAAGGUGCUGCAUGGUUGUCGUCAGCUCGUGCCGUGAGGUGUCGGCUUAAGUGCCAUAACGAGCGCAACCCUUGCCGAUAGUUACUAACAGGUUAUGCUGAGGACUCUGUCGGGACUGCCAUCGUAAGAUGUGAGGAAGGUGGGGAUGACGUCAAAUCAGCACGGCCCUUACGUCCGGGGCUACACACGUGUUACAAUGGGGGGUACAGAGGGCUGCUACCACGCAAGUGGAUGCCAAUCCCAAAAACCUCUCUCAGUUCGGAUUGAAGUCUGCAACCCGACUUCAUGAAGCUGGAUUCGCUAGUAAUCGCGCAUCAGCCACGGCGCGGUGAAUACGUUCCCGGGCCUUGUACACACCGCCCGUCAAGCCAUGGGAGCCGGGGGUACAAGAAGUGCGUAACCGCAAGGAGCGCCCUAGGGUA